rnacentral:rRNA from 1 species
AUUGAACGCUGGCGGCAGGCCUAACACAUGCAAGUCGAGCGGAUGAAGGGAGCUUGCUCCUGGAUUCAGCGGCGGACGGGUGAGUAAUGCCUAGGAAUCUGCCUGGUAGUGGGGGAUAACGUCCGGAAACGGGCGCUAAUACCGCAUACGUCCUGAGGGAGAAAGUGGGGGUUCUUCGGACCUCACGCUAUCAGAUGAGCCUAGGUCGGAUUACCUAGUUGGUGGGGUAAAGGCCUACCAAGGCGACGUUCCGUAACUGGUCUGAGAGGAUGAUCAGUCACACUGGAACUGAGACACGGUCCAGACUCCUACGGGAGGCAGCAGUGGGGAAUAUUGGACAAUGGGCGAAAGCCUGAUCCAGCCAUGCCGCGUGUGUGAAGAAGGUCUUCGGAUUGUAAAGCACUUUAAGUUGGGAGGAAGGGCAGUAAGUUAAUACCUUGCUGUUUUGACGUUACCAACAGAAUAAGCACCGGCUAACUUCGUG